ACAAUAACUAGUACCAUAUCUGGGACCAUGCAAUAAUAGUAACAAAAAAUAAAAAUGGCAUGCACUGCAACUCAAGUCGACAACUUUAAACUUAUAUAAUCUUGUUCCAUACAUAGGAAAUGGGAUUUUCAUAUGUAUUUAACAUAGUACAAGUAAAAGGUUAAUUGAAGGUAUACACUUAUUCAAGGGAUUUAAAUUUAAAUUUCAAACUUCAGAUACCAUGGCCAGAACGUUUUCACAAAUUUUGUCGACUCUAUAUGAUGGGAGUUACAAACACACAAAGUAGUUGGAUUCGCUAGCUCUAUUUCAUAUGCUCGGUUAAAAGUGAACCUGCAAAAUCAAAGAUGGAAGUUUUUAAGCAAUAAGAGAACUGCUAGUAACAUGUUUGUAGGAAUAUAUCAAAAAAAAAAAAAAAAUUGAGUAUUUUUGUCAACGAAAAAAUAAAUACCUGACUGGACUCUAUAUACCUCCCCUACAAUUAGUUGGGUCUCUUAUUUCCAUUCGAUGUGUUUCCUAUACCAAAAAAGAAAAAAAAAACAACGUGACUCAUCAACUUUGGAUGGACAACCCUGUGACUGAAAAUAAUACUUCACAUGAACUUACAGUCAUCAUUCCACGCCACUAACAUUUGAUAAUGUGAGUGCAGUAGUUGGAUUUGCCACAAACAUUGCUCUGGAAGUCGCAUAAAUCUUCAGUGAGUGCUCUGGGUUAUAGGCCAGACCUGUUAAUUUGAGUACAACAUUAAAUUAGUAUUUUCUCCAGGAAUAGCAGAGAAGUGACCUGCUAAUUUAGAUGAAAGUGUUUCAUCUAAAGUUCUUCCUUAGAGCAUACAACAAGGAUACAUUAUGGAAACAUAAACAAACAAACAGUUGAGGAAUUAGCACACACUUUUCUCCUUAACAUUAACAUCCAAGUAUAAAGAGUAAUUAAUAAACUAUUAGUAAAAGGGACCAACUCAAGCUUGACCGUAGCCGUGGUGGAUUGAGAAAGAACAUGUCUGAUAUAUCUAAAGAGAAAUAUUAUCCUCCAUACCAUCUAACAAUGAUCCCAAGAAAAAGAGGAAAAGAAAAAAAAAACAAGGAUUACUAACCCAAGAGGAACUACACUUUGCAACCAAAGGUGAGUACAUCCCAAACCAGUAGUUGGAAUGACGUCAGAGAUGGAGACAGUUCCAUAUAAUUUAGAGCUCUUGUGGCAAAUCAUUACAGUAGUAGAUCUGCAUUUCAAUAUCCAGCAAGAUCAUUCAGAAAUAACAUAAAGAAUGGAUUGAACCAAAUGUACAAUUUAUCUGUAUAAAGCGAAAUUACAAAGGUAAAAAAAUAAAAUAAGAAGAAGCAAAGAAUCAAUCCUAACAAAGGGACCAUAUAUGUCAUGAGUUGUGCGUGAAACGUCUUCUGCAGCUCAGGAAUAUUGUAUAGUUUUCCAAUCAACAUUUACUCAGAACUCGGAAGGGUACUUUUUUUUUAGAACAAGCAAUUUGGGAAGAUUAACAUCGAUCUGAAUAGGACAAUUAAUGACAUCAAAGCAACAGUGUGAUACUGGGCAGGUGACACUUGCAGAAUAGGAAUUAUCACUUUGUUUCUGUUAUUUGUAAUUGGGGAAUGAUCAUAACCCCUUAGGUCCCUUUUACAAUGUUGUUUGUACAGAGUAACUCUGAGUAAUGGUGUACAUGUAAAUAGGCGUCUUAGUAAGAAUUUAUAUAAGUUAUAAUGCAGCAAAUGUAUUAGUCACUACCAAUAGUAAGAUAAAAAUAUGAUAUUAAAGGCAAAUUCUCUAUUUCUAGUGCUUAUCAGACUUUCAGAAAGCAAAACGCAGCCUACCCCCACUAAAUCGUCUAUUUCCGUAUAAACUGGUCUGGACGAAACCAUUAUAGUCCUUGAUUCGUUUGAAAAUGAAUCAAAGUUCGCAUGGGGCAAUUUUCAGGUACCAACAUAACAAUUGAACAAGUCAACGAUGAUGACACUGAAUUUAGACUGAACACUCAAGAAUAGCAAAACAGACAGCUUUUUCUUUAUUUACCAUGUAACAUUGUUAUACAUCAGAGAGGAAUGGUAUUGAAAAGGUACCUGUUAUCAAGCUAACACAAUCCUUGCAAGUCUUUUGCUAUAUUGGUUACACGCUAUCAAGUUUUCUUCUCUCUACGCCAUAUAAAUCAUUUAUAAAUUCACAUGUGUCCAUAAAAUUACCUUGGAAAGUGCACAUUUGAAACAAACAGAGAACGUAUUGGGACUGGUACUUCAAUUGUUUCAUUUAUACUAUUAUAAUCUAUGGCUUUCACUGUCCAUUAACAUUAUAGGUGUGGUCUGAGUUGUUAAAGCCUAGGUAGAGGUGUUAUGCUCUUGUUUUGACUGUAGAUACUGUUGAGGAUCGAGCUUCUAAUAGCAUGGCCAGAAGGUAAGGGUAUACAUCUAGGGAGAAAGGUAUGGGCUAUCCUUCCUUAUGCUAUAAUCUAGACACUCUGUCGAGUUCGUAAUAAAAGGAUUUUUAGGGAUAGAAUGUCAUCUAUUGAAAGAAUUUCAGUGGAAUUAAAGACUACAUGUUGGUAUUGGGUUGGAUAUUGGCCUGUGAGGCGACUGUUUUACUUUAAGGACAUGAUUUGCGAUGGUUUGAGCUGCUGAAUGGGAUGUUGAUCAGAAGUGCAUUAGAUCAACAACAACAACUACACUGACUGACUCAAAGUUCUUGGUUAUUUUUUCCAUUUGCUUUACUAGAAUAUGUAACAGGGGUUCAAACCUGACGAUGCUUUAUUCAUUUUGAUCAGGUUGUUAUUCUUUAUUUAUUAAUAAAAAUCUUCUUAUAAAAAAAAUGCAGAACUUGAUGUGUAGACAAAAACAAGCUAUUACACAAUUCAAAUGUACCAACAUCAUCAGUAAAAAAAAAAAUACAUAAUACAUGACUUCAAAUAAAGGCAUCAAUUCCACAAUCAAUCAUUGGAGAUCGAGUAUUGGGUUCAAGAAUCGUUGGCAACAACACUGGCGCUUAAGGAGUUUCACUCAUGCUGGUAUCGUUAAUUAGCGCAGAACACCUGGGAUUUUAUUAUUGUGCCUUGGGAUAGACAUAAUGAAUUUAUACAGUAUAGUGGGAAAUUAGAUAUGUCUAAUUAGGUGGGUUUUUUUUGCAGGAGAAGAGCCUAAGAUGUGAACACACGGUGAAUUGCUUUUUCUUUGAUAAAAAAUAACUUUACCUCCUUUAAUUGAAACAAAGUACCUAUACCUCACUUAUAACAUUUUAAACACAGUAACAAACUACCUCUUCUAAGGAUAUACAGAAAAAUAUGUUAAAGGUUGCAUACUUCUAAGGCCAGUAAUAUACAUGUGGGGGCUUGUGUUAUGAAGGAAUCUUUAUAAAACAAGCAAGUUGAAGACCUGAAUAUGGAAGUGAUGAAGAUAUAAAUUUAACAACUUCAAAUCAUCAGUCAAACAAAACAAUCAAUCCCAACAAAAUACCCCUCAAUUUCACAAUCAAUCUCAUAAGAAUCGAUUUUUAGAAGAAAAAAUAAUUUACACAUGCACUAACUUCGCACCAAUCUAAUAAAAUAAUUUAUCACUAAUUAUCCAUUAUCGAUUACAAGCAUCGAUUUCUAGAAUAAAAAACAAAAGGAGAGUAUAUUAUCAAUCUUACCAGCAUCGAUUUCUAGAAUAAAAAACAAAAGGAGAGUAUAUGAGAGAGAGAGAAAGAGCUUAUUACCAAAAUCAAAAAAUUCCGACGAAAUUGAUCGAGUAGCAGUGUAAGGAAAGAGAAAGAAGAGCAGCGGACGAAGGUGGGAAGGAGAGAAGUAGAGAGAUGAAUACCAAAAAAGGGUUUUAAUUGAAGUGAAGAGAACUAUCCCGAGAUUAGUUCUCAACUGAAUCCAAAUGCAACGCCUCAUGUGCUAAAAGCAUGCCAAGUUAGAUCU
rnacentral:lncRNA from 1 species